AGAGUUUUGAUCAUGGCUCAGGGACGUACGCUGGUGGCGUGCUUUAACACAUGCAAGUCGAGCGGGGUGAGUUCUUCGGAACGAUCCUAGCGGCGGACGGGUGAGUAACACGUGAGUAACCUGCCCUAUGGAGGGGGAUAACACAAAGAAAUUUGUGCUAAUACCGCAUAAUACUGAUGCUCCGCAUGGAGUGUCAGUCAAAGAUUUAUCGCCAUAGGAUGGACUCGCGGCGCAUUAGCUAGUUGGUGAGGUAACGGCCCACCAAGGCGACGAUGCGUAGCCGACCUGAGAGGGUGAUCGGCCACAUUGGAACUGAGACACGGUCCAGACUCCUACGGGAGGCAGCAGUGGGGAAUAUUGCACAAUGGGCGAAAGCCUGAUGCAGCAACGCCGCGUGAGCGAUGAAGGCCUUCGGGUUGUAAAGCUCUGUCUUCGCUGACGAAGAAUGACGGUAAGCGAGGAGGAAGCCACGGCUAACUACGUGCCAGCAGCCGCGGUAAUACGUAGGUGGCAAGCGUUGUCCGGAAUUACUGGGCGUAAAGAAUGCGUAGGCGGCUUUUUAAGUGGGAUGUGAAAUCCCUGGGCUCAACCCAGGAACUGCAUUCCAAACUGGAGAGCUAGAGUGUGGGAGAGGAAAAUGGUAUUCCCAGUGUAGCGGUGAAAUGCGUAGAGAUUGGGAGGAACACCAGUAGCGAAGGCGAUUUUCUGGAACAUAACUGACGCUGAGGCAUGAAAGCGUGGGGAGCAAACAGGAUUAGAUACCCUGGUAGUCCACGCCGUAAACGAUGAGUACUAGGUGUAGGGGGGUACCACCCCCUGUGCCGCAGUUAACACAUUAAGCACUCCGCCUGGGAAGUACGAUCGCAAGAUUAAAACUCAAAUGAAUUGACGG
rnacentral:rRNA from 1 species